AGAGCAGGUCUACAGUAUUAAGUGAACGUUGUCAGUUAGAUCUUCUCACUUGCAUCGAAGCUAAUGCUGUGGCAUCAAAGAAAACCCUAGGACACAGGUCAACAGUUUCAACUCCAAAAUCUCAAUCCCCGGUAGAGCUCAUUUUGCGGGUAGGAUCUUGUCGGAGUUUGUUGUUUUCCUCCUCCCAAUAUGGCUACUCAGAAGAGAAAACCCUAGGGCACAGCUGUAGGCGAGAAAGGAAGGUGUAGGGAACUCACAUCAUUUGUGCAAAAGAGAUUCAUAUUUGAGGAGAAUACUGUGGAAUUGUAUGCUGAGAAGCUAAGGGCUUGGCAGCUUGCUAUAGUGUUCUAAGAGACUAAGGGUUUCUAGGUAUAUCUGAUUUUAAAACCAAGGUUUUGUAAUAUCAGUUUUCUAAGUAAUACAGGUCACAUUAAUGUAUGCAGAACAUCUUAACUAAGGGCUCAACAUGCCAAAUCCAUGAAGUUUAAGGAUGCUUAUAUCAAUUCUCCUGGCCAACUUGUCAAAGAAUACAUCGACUCUGACCUUGUUUGGUAAAUGACGAAUCUGCCAUUUUGGAGUUUUAAGGCUCUUAGCCUUUUUGGCUCCUCAAAAUGCUGCCCGCAAUGAAUGGUCAAGCAAUAUAGGAGCCCUCAAGGCUCCAUUCUCACUUUUCCCACCGAUGUGGGAAAGUGGGAAAA